UUGGAGGGCAAGUCUGGUGCCAGCAGCCGCGGUAAUUCCAGCUCCAAUAGCGUAUAUUAAAGUUGUUGCAGUUAAAAAGCUCGUAGUUGAAUUUCGGGAUCAAAUUGUCGGUCGUGCCUCGGUACGCACUGGUAUUAUUGGUUCCUACCUUCUGAAGAACCGCGAUGUCAUUAAUUUGGUGUCGUGGGGAAUCAGGACUGUUACUUUGAAAAAAUUAGAGUGUUUAAAGCAGGCUUACGCUUGAAUACAUUAGCAUGGAAUAAUGAAAUAGGACGUUUGAUUCUAUUUUGUUGGUUUCCAGGAUUGACGUAAUGAUUAAUAGGGAUAGUUGGGGGCAUUAGUAUUCAAUUGUCAGAGGUGAAAUUCUUGGAUUUAUUGAAGACUAACUACUGCGAAAGCAUUUGCCAAGGAUGUUUUCAUUAAUCAAGAACGAAAGUUAGGGGAUCGAAGACGAUCAGAUACCGUCGUAGUCUUAACCAUAAACUAUGCCGACUAGGGAUCGGAUGAUGUUAAUUUUUUAAUGACUCAUUCGGCGCCUUACGGGAAAC
rnacentral:rRNA from 1 species